GAUGAAGAACGUAGCGAAAUGCGAUAAGUAAUGUGAAUUGCAGAAUUCAGUGAAUCAUCGAAUCUUUGAACGCACAUUGCGCCCCCUGGUAUUCCGGGGGGCAUGCCUGUUCGAGCGUCAUUACAACCCUCAAGCUCUGCUUGGUGUUGGGCCCCGCCGCCCCGGCGGGCCCUAAAAUCAGUGGCGGUGCCGUCCGGCUCCGAGCGUAGUAAUUCUUCUCGCUCUGGAGGUCCGGGUGUGUGCUCGCCAGCAACCCCCAAUUUUUUUCAGGUUGACCUCGGACCAGGUAGGGAUACCCGCUGAACUUAAGCAUAUCAAUAAGCGGAGGA
rnacentral:misc_RNA from 1 species